GAUGAACGCUGGCGGCGUGCCUAACACAUGCAAGUCGAGCGAUUCUCUUCGGAGAAGAGCGGCGGACGGGUGAGUAACGCGUGGGUAACCUGCCCUGUACACACGGAUAACAUACCGAAAGGUAUGCUAAUACGAGAUAAUAUGCUUUUGUCGCAUGGUAGAAGUAUCAAAGUUUUUGCGGUACAGGAUGGACCCGCGUCUGAUUAGCUAGUUGGUAAGGUAACGGCUUACCAAGGCGACGAUCAGUAGCCGACCUGAGAGGGUGAUCGGCCACAUUGGAACUGAGACACGGUCCAAACUCCUACGGGAGGCAGCAGUGGGGAAUAUUGCACAAUGGGCGAAAGCCUGAUGCAGCAACGCCGCGUGAGCGAUGAAGGCCUUCGGGUCGUAAAGCUCUGUCUUCAGGGACGAUAAUGACGGUACCUGAGGAGGAAGCCACGGCUAACUACGUGCCAGCAGCCGCCGUAAAAC
rnacentral:rRNA from 1 species